rnacentral:rRNA from 1 species
CCAAUAGCGUAUAUUAAAGUUGUUGCAGUUAAAAAGCUCGUAGUUGAAUUUCGGGAUCAAUCUAUCGGUCGUGCAAUAGUACGUACUGAUUUUAUUGAUUCCUCCCUUCUGAUGAACUAUGAUGUCAUUAAUUUGGUGUCAUAGGGAAUCAGGACUGUUACUUUGAAAAAAUUAGAGUGUUUAAAGCAGGCUCACGCUUGAAUACAUUAGCAUGGAAUAACGAAAUAGGACGUUUGAUUCUAUUUUGUUGGUUUCUAGGAUCGACGUAAUGAUUAAUAGGGAUAGUUGGGGGCAUUAGUAUUCAAUUGUCAGAGGUGAAAUUCUUGGAUUUAUUGAAGACUAACUACUGCGAAAGCAUUUGCCAAGGAUGUUUUCAUUAAUCAAGAACGAAAGUUAGGGGAUCGAAGACGAUCAGAUACCGUCGUAGUCUUAACCAUAAACUAUGCCGACUAGGGAUCGGAUGAUGUUAAUUUUUUAAUGACUCAUUCGGCGCCUUAUG